CUCGGGGAAUCCGUAGUCCAGCUCCUCAUUGAGGGGCAGCAGGUCCACGUCGUGCAUGGCGAUGUAGUCCGUGCUGUUGCUGGUCUCCAGGAAGCCCACGUUGAUGAGGGCCGCGCGGUUGAACCUGCGCAGGGGGGUGGCCGAGGCUGAGCAGGCGGGUGCGGGGGGCUUGCUGUCCCCCCGACAGUGAGCAGGAGCCUGUCCUCCGCAGCACCCGGCCUGGCGCCCCACGCCGCCUUCCCUGGGGGGGAUGCCCGGCCCCCCCCGCCCCCCCGGGCUCAGCUCACACAGAUCUACCGAGCCCCCACCAUGUGCCGGAAACCGCCCAGAUCACUGCAGUGCCCGCACUGAGAAAUCAAAGCCCUGCCUUCUGGGAGCUGACAUGCUUACAAGGGAGAAAAAUAAGUAUGUGCCCAGCCAGACCCUGGAAGCAAAGUCAUCAGUCGAGGCUGAGGAGGAGGAAAGAGGGGGCAGAGCUGCAUCAGAGAGCCGAGAGGCAGCAGGCCAGAGGAGCACGGGGCUCCAGGCAGGCCCUUCACUGCCAGGAAGACCAGCCACCUCUCCAGCCACAUCCUGCGGCCCAUGGGCCGAGGGACUGAUGCUACCGAGGGACUGAUGCUACCGAUGGACUGUGGAAUCCAAGCUGGGGGAAGACACAGUGAGGACCAGGAGGGGUGGGCUGUGAAAACUGGGGCAACUGUGGCCUAAAGGGCCGGGUGGGGCCCCAGAGCCUUUGGACCUAUCUCCCAGCGGAGUGAGCAGCUUCGAAGCUGUGGUCUUGACCCGCCCUUCCCCGAAUACCCACAGCCAAUCCACUAGAAAGCUCCUCCCCACCACAUCUCCCACAGAGCCAAGACACCCUCACCUCUAACCACCCAGUACCCCUCUGGUGUCCAAGUAAAAGCUAUUCCUCAUA